rnacentral:rRNA from 1 species
CAGCCGCCGCGGGAACACGUAGGUGGCAAGCGUUGUCCGGAAUUAUUGGGCGUAAAGGGCUCGCAGGCGGUUUCUUAAGUCUGAUGUGAAAGCCCCCGGCUCAACCGGGGAGGGUCAUUGGAAACUGGGAAACUUGAGUGCAGAAGAGGAGAGUGGAAUUCCACGUGUAGCGGUGAAAUGCGUAGAGAUGUGGAGGAACACCAGUGGCGAAGGCGACUCUCUGGUCUGUAACUGACGCUGAGGAGCGAAAGCGUGGGGAGCGAACAGGAUUAGAUACCCCGGUAGUCCCUGUCUCUUAUAA